UUUGCAUUUAAGUUUUAAAUGAAAAUUGUUUUUAAAUAUUUUGUAUUAAGAAUAAAGUUGUUCAGAUAGUUAUUGUUUGAUUGUUUCCGUUACUGACUUAUUCAGUAUUUUCCAAAUACUAGUUAUCAUAUAAAGAUUUUCGUUCUAAUUAUGAUUGCAAUACAGCAGACAAUGAAAGCCAUGGUGAGACAUGAAUUCGCGAUUCUAUCAGUUUGGAAAAUAUAAACAUCUUAUGAUGAAAAUGGACUAGAAGAUACUGAUAAUAAUAAUUGUUUUAUUCAACAUGCAAAUACAGCAGAUCACUCAAAGGAUGCUGAAACAUUAUUUGGUAUUCAAACAACUCUGGAAAAGUAUGAACAUCCAAUUUUGAAAAUGAACUAACGAAUACUGAUUAUAAUGAAUUUAUGCAAAUUACAUAUUGCAAUACAGCAGACAAUGAAAGCCAUGGUGAGACAUGAAUUCGCGAUUCUAUCAGUUUGGAAAAUAUAAACAUCUUAUGAUGAAAAUGGACUAGAAGAUACUGAUAAUAAUAAUUGUUUUAUUCAACAUGCAAAUACAGCAGAUCACUCAAAGGAUGCUGAAACAUUAUUUGGUAUUCAAACAACUCUGGAAAAGUAUGAACAUCCAAUUUUGAAAAUGAACUAACGAAUACUGAUUAUAAUGAAUUUAUGCAAAUUACAUGUAAUGGUUAUUGAAUAUAAUUUAUAGAAUAUUAAUAUAAUGAUACAAUAGAUAUUUGUUAAUAAAGUGAAUAAAUGAUUAUUAAA